rnacentral:rRNA from 1 species
GUGAGGAAUAUUGGGCAAUGGGCGCAAGCCUGACCCAGCCAUGCCGCGUGAAGGUAGAAGGCCCUAUGGGUUGUAAACUUCUUUUAUACGGGAAGAAACUUCCGAACGUGUUCGGAAUUGACUGUACCGUAGGAAUAAGCAUCGGCUAACUCCGUGCCAGCAGCCGCGGUAAUACGGAGGAUGCAAGCGUUAUCCGGAUUUAUUGGGUUUAAAGGGUGCGUAGGCGGAAUGAUAAGUCAGUGGUGAAAGCCUGCGACUUAACCGUAGAACUGCCAUUGGUACUGUUGUUCUUCAGUAUAGUUGAGGUGGGCGGAAUGUGUAAGGUAGCGGUGAAAUGCUUAGAUAUUACACAGAACACCGAUUGCGAAGGCAGCUCACUAAGCUGUUACUGACGCUGAGGCACAAAAGCGUGGGGAGCAAACAGGAUUAGAAACCCGUGUAGUCC